GACGAACGCUGGCGGCGUGCUUAACACAUGCAAGUCGAACGGAAAGGCCCUGCUUUUGUGGGGUGCUCGAGUGGCGAACGGGUGAGUAACACGUGAGUAACCUGCCCUUGACUUUGGGAUAACUUCAGGAAACUGGGGCUAAUACCGGAUAGGAGCUCCUGCUGCAUGGUGGGGGUUGGAAAGUUUCGGCGGUUGGGGAUGGACUCGCGGCUUAUCAGCUUGUUGGUGGGGUAGUGGCUUACCAAGGCUUUGACGGGUAGCCGGCCUGAGAGGGUGACCGGCCCCAUUGGGACUGAGAUACGGCCCAGACUCCUACGGGCGGCAGCAGUGGGGAAUAUUGCACAAUGGGCGGAAGCCUGAUGCAGCAACGCCGCGUGCGGGAUGACGGCCUUCGGGUUGUAAACCGCUUUCGCCUGUGACGAAGCGUGAGUGACGGUAAUGUGUAAAGAAGCACCGGCUAACUACGUG
rnacentral:rRNA from 1 species